GAAUUUGAAGCAAAUAAUUGCAAUUAGUUUCGACCUAAUAUAAUGAUAUUCAAUUAUCCUAAUUCU
rnacentral:tRNA from 1 species